CGAACGGGAUGCUUAGGCAUCUAGUGGCGGACGGGUGAGUAACGCGUGAGAAUCUGGCUCCAGGUCGGGGAUAACAGUUGGAAACGACUGCUAAUACCGGAUGUGCCGAGAGGUGAAAGAUUUAUUGCCUGGAGAUGAGCUCGCGUCUGAUUAGCUAGUUGGUGGUGUAAGGGACCACCAAGGCAUCGAUCAGUAGCUGGUCUGAGAGGAUGAUCAGCCACACUGGGACUGAGACACGGCCCAGACUCCUACGGGAGGCAGCAGUGGGGAAUUUUCCGCAAUGGGCGAAAGCCUGACGGAGCAAUACCGCGUGAGGGAGGAAGGCUCUUGGGUCGUAAACCUCUUUUCUCAAGGAAGAAGAAAGUGACGGUACUUGAGGAAUAAGCAUCGGCUAACUCCGUGCCAGCAGCCGCGGUAAUACGGAGGAUGCAAGCGUUAUCCGGAAUGAUUGGGCGUAAAGGGUCUGCAGGUGGAACUGAAAGUCUGCUGUUAAAGAGUUUGGCUUAACCAAAUAAAAGCGGUGGAAACUACAGAACUAGAGUGUGGUAGGGGCAAAAGGAAUUCCUGGUGUAGCGGUGAAAUGCGUAGAUAUCAGGAAGAACACCGGUGGCGAAAGCGUUUUGCUAGACCAUAACUGACACUGAGGGACGAAAGCUAGGGGAGCGAAUGGGAUUAGAUACCCCAGUAGUCCUAGCCGUAAACGAUGGAUACUAGGCGUGGCUUGUAUCGACCCGAGCCGUGCCGGAGCUAACGCGUUAAGUAUCCCGCCUGGGGAGUACGCACGCAAGUGUGAAACUCAAAGGAAUUGACGGGGGCCCGCACAAGCGGUGGAGUAUGUGGUUUAAUUCGAUGCAACGCGAAGAACCUUACCAAGACUUGACAUCCUGCGAAUCCUGGUGAAAGCUGGGAGUGCCUUCGGGAGCGCAGAGACAGGUGGUGCAUGGCUGUCGUCAGCUCGUGUCGUGAGAUGUUGGGUUAAGUCCCGCAACGAGCGCAACCCUCGUUUUUAGUUGCCAGCAUUAAGUUGGGCACUCUAGAGAGACUGCCGGUGACAAACCGGAGGAAGGUGAGGAUGACGUCAAGUCAGCAUGCCCCUUACGUCUUGGGCUACACACGUACUACAAUGCUACGGACAGAGGGCAGCGAGCCAGGGAUGGCAAGCGAAUCCAGAAACCGUAGCUCAGUUCAGAUCGAAGGCUGCAACUCGCCUUCGUGAAGGAGGAAUCGCUAGUAAUUGCAGGUCAGCAUACUGCAGUGAAUUCGUUCCCGGGCCUUGUACACACCGCCCGUCACACCAUGGAAGUUGGUCACGCCCGAAGUCAUUACCCCAACCGAAAGGAGGGGGAUGCCUAAGGUAGGACUGGUGACUGGGGUGAAGUCGUAACAAGGUAGCCGUACCGGAAGGUGUGGCUGGAUCACCUCCUUU
rnacentral:rRNA from 1 species